rnacentral:rRNA from 1 species
GUAGUCUGCAACUCGACUACAUGAAGCUGGAAUCGCUAGUAAUCGCAAAUCAGAAUGUUGCGGUGAAUACGUUCCCGGGUCUUGUACACACCGCCCGUCACACCAUGGGAGUCGGAAAUGCCCGAAGUCUGUGAACCCAACGAAAGAGGGAGCAGCCGAAGGUGGGUUCGAUAAUUGGGGUGAAGUCGUAACAAGGUAUC